rnacentral:lncRNA from 10 species
GGGAGCUUAGAUGUGGAAGCUCUUUGGAAACCAAGAAACACUCUGAAAAUGAAAAGGGUGGAAGAGUAAACUGUUCCUGUUUCUCCAUCUUGACAGGAAGCAGAAGUUCUCCUUAGCUGAUUUUUCUUCUUGCCUUAUACUGGGUUCUUUAACACCAGAACAAAAAUAAAUAAAUAAAAGAAUCUUCCAGAAAUUCAUGAAGAGACUUCAGGUCAGGAAAGCCUGAACUUUCUCAUCCAACACCCGUUCAAGUCGGAGGAUGCUGAUUAAUUCAUGAUGGAAAGGUAUCAAUUUCACAGCCCAGACCUCUACAUUCUUGAAAUGCUCUUCUCAUGGGAGACAUUAAAUAAGCUUUGAAUUAACUGGACUUAUCUUCCUCAGUUCUCUGUGAUGAACUUUUGUAGAGCCAUACGAAAGGAGGUUUUUAGCUCUCACCUGUGGUCUUUCUUCAUCAUGCACCUCCUAGAUUCAAAAGUUCAGCAGGGACAUGUCAAGCUAUAUAAAUAAAAACAAACUAAGAAAAAAUGUAACAUUCCAUACCUUAAAACGCAACCUUAAUAACGUGAAAGACCCUGAAGGACUUGAGACGUGAAGAUUUUCUACCACGGUCUUUGCCUGUAUUAUUUCUGACAGCUGUUCCUUUCUACUCCCUCUUGCACACAUCUUUAGUUACUCCCUGUUCUCCAUCCCUCUGAUAAAAUCUAGAGUUCCCCC